GUAAUCUACAGUAAAUGCAGGGUGUUGCACAGGGAGAUUAUAGAUUACAUAGUGUUAUGUAAGGCAUCCAUGUAGGGUUUUCAUCUCAAUUUUACAAUGUGCAGCAGUUUACUUUUACAAGUUUAUUUUGUAUUAAAUGUGUUCUACGCUCUGUGAAAGACCAAAAAGUAUUAGACUAAGUCAAAGACAACUUCAAGUUUUUGUACUAAUGAAAUUAAAUCACGUAAAACGAUUUAUUGACAGGUAACACACAACACAGUGUGAAGUCAAAGACUUAACAGUGGGAGGGAAGCAAUGCUAUGUAACCUUAGGUCUGGUGAGAAACUUCUAGCUUGGCUGGGCAUGUCGCUUUAGAGGUGUUCUGUUUCUCCAUCCACCCUCAGUUGUGAUCAUGUGACUAUGUGAUAAGUCUUUGGACAGCAGGUACAAAAAAAUUUGCUGGUGCAAUAUAAACACAUUUGUUUGCACAAGUAAAAUGUGGUAUUUGCAAGCUGUUUCUUCUGAGAUCCGUUCAUGAUGUGCUGUGUUGUUGUUUCAUUCAGAAUAUUCAGAUGUUUAAUUGGUGCUUUGUGCCGGCGAGAGCGCACGUGCGUAAAAUUGUUUGGCGCACCUGUUUCCUUUUGUUUCCGUGUUUAUACUGACGGUAAACGUUUUGUCCGUGCGUUUGUGGGAACAGAGGAGAAGAGCAUAGCUUAUUUUGGCUGGUCAUCGGGUUAACAGGGAAACCGAACCAGUCUGUGAAGCCUGCUCCUCUUCAGCCGAUACCAGCCGCAAGUGGACCUUUCGAACAUCUUAUAGUCGAUUGUGUUGGCCCUUUACCGUGUUCAAAAUCUGGCAGUGCUGGGAUUGGCCAGGUAAAAUCACUGAGAUGUGGAGCACCUGGGCCUGCUGCUCCACCUCCACUAUAUAUGCUGGCUUCCAGUCACCUGUGAGGCUCCCUGUUCCUUCGCCUGAGCCACAUGCACAAUUUAUUUAGUUUUCUCUGUUAGUGCACACUUCAACACCUCGCACCACAUCAUUCUCACACACCCACAUACACACUACUGAUAUUACAGACAAGACACACCCCAUACUCGUAGUUAUUAUUAGUUUGACUUACUUUCAGUUGUAAUAAAUUAUUUGGGCUAUUUUGGAAAGCGGACUCCUCCUGUUCUUUUGUCAUGGCCAUUGAGCCGGGUUAUGACAUUUGUGACUUAAUUUACGUAGCUUAUUAUAUCAGUUGUUUAUCAUUACAGUUGGCAAACCAUGAGAAAUGUUUAUCAACUAACUAAA